CGGGGCGCUUUGGAGACCAGGCAGCCGAGGCAAAAAGGCUAGCGGGGUUUUCUUCCUCUCCCUCCGAGGCGGGCUGGGCAGGGACUCUGGCCCGCCCAGGAUGGAAGGGGAGCUGCUGCCUUCUCCCCUCUCACCUCCACCGUUCCCGGGAGCGCUGGGAACUGGCCCGGGCUUUGGAGCUCCGCGCUGGAGCCGCGGCUGCUGCCAGCGGCAGCGGCGCUAAAAGCAGGGAAGCUCCCACCCGAGGCUGCAGCUCAUUAAGGGUCACAGAGAUGGCAGCGAUUAGACCUGCUGCAGCUUAGACAAUGGGAGCCUACAGCAGACGUCUGUGUGUCCAGACAACAGACCCCCCCCCAGCAGCCCAGCGUCACCCCUCUGAGAUGCAGAGCAAGUAGAAGAGGUAGAACUGUGCAAGUCCCUCAGACCUGCUUGUGUGAGAGAGGUACUGCAGUGUACUUUGGCAUUUGAGCUGCUGGAAGAAAUUUCACCUGUGGGCAGGUUAUUCUAUAAAUAUCCUUAGUGGAGUUUCUUGUAUUCCUCUGAAGCAUCUGAUGCUGGCCAGUGUCACAGACAGGACACCAAACUAGACAGGCUACUGUUCUGAUCCAAUGGGACAAUGUAUAUGUUCAUCUUUGUUCUCUGGAAAAAUGUGGAUUACAUCUAUACAGGUCUUCCUCUAUGGCAACCUAAGAUCAAUUCUAUUUUAAUGUAAUAACUUAUCUGAGUACAACUCAAUGCAAAUUAUUGUUUUAGAAAUAGUCUUCAUUUUGUUUAGUUGUUCAGGAGACUACUUGGGGGUGGGGAACAAAACUGUGCUGUGAAAGGGAGGAUGGCUUUUGUGGUUAAGGCACUAUCCUGAGAAUGUGGGGGAGGGGGAAGGCUCUAGCUUCCUUUCCGUCUGUGCUACAGACUCCAUCUGGGGCGAGUCACUUAACUCUUCUGUGUCCCAUGCUCCACAUUUGUAAAAUGGAAAUGAAUUCAUUAAUGUUUACUGUGGCAUGCUACGAUACUACAGCUGUGGGGACCAUAGAAAAGCCAAUAAAUAAAUAAAUAAUGAUUGGAAAUUACUUAUAUCAUUUCUGAGCAUGGACUGCAGCAUUUUGUGAACUCAGGCAUGCCUGUCAGUGAAGUGAAAGCUAGGCCAUGCUGUUUUGUUCAUAGAGCCAGACCACAGCCUGUGUGUGGUAUAUCACAGCCAAAGACCCAGCUUGUGGUGGGUAUUUACUUUUGUCAAGAGGCGUGCUCCAUGCCACAAAGUGCUGUAAGCCUCCUUGCAAGAUGUUGUAAUGCAUGUGACGUGUGUAAGGUUGUGGAGUUGUGAGUGUUUUUGAGAUCCACGUAAUUGUAACAGUCACAAGUAGGAUAGGAGAGACGGUAGCAGAUAGAUGUACUUUGUUCCCUAUUUUAUGUUAGCUGAGCUGUCUGGACCCUGCUGUUUCAGAGACACAUUUUGUAUUUGCCACAUCACGCUAGUAUCCGUCAUUAGGCAAGACUAUGUGCGAUUGAUGCUCUAUAAAUACCUACUGGAUAUAGCUAUGUAAUGGACGAUAAAUAAAUGGACCAGGUUGUAAGUCCUGUGGAAAAAACCCUGGAAAGAGGCAGUGGGAGAGGAAUAUUGUAUGAGAUUCCUUUGCAGAAUUUUCUCCCGAUCAUUCUGCCAGGGGCUUUUGGGUUUGCACGUACAAGGGGCUCAGACUCCAGAACUUGUGAAUCAUGGAGAUGCACUGAGUCCCUGUUCCUCCACAGUAGCUCCAAAGCCUCCUGCCACUUCCUCAGGAUCCUUGGUGGAGCAUCAAUGGAAUUGCACUGUCUAGUUUUCCCCAUUGGCUGCUGCCCCCUAAAACUCUCUCAAAGGGGGUUUCCACAGCACAAAAGGGCUCUGCAGAAAAGUUAAAUGAUUGCAUUAACUACCUAGCCUGUGGAUUCCCCAGAGGGUAAUUGAUGAAGUGCACACUCUACUCAUCCCUAACCUCUCCUACUCUGUCUUGUCUCUCCCUCUACCUUGUGCUCUUUGGGCAAUGGGGCUGUGAAGAACCGUGCCUGAAGCUGUUUCUGGAUUCACUGUUGGGGCCACGGCUAUGAAACCUGUCUCAGGCUUAGAUGUCUAGUAUAAGCUAGUCAUAAACAAGGUGGCAGUAAUUGGCAGAGUAAUGUAACUUGCACUGGUUUUUCACUGAGUAGAUGUGAAAAACCAGAGUAUCUUACACUCUAAAAGGGGCAAAGGGGACAGGAUGUUGCACUGGAAGCAAGUGACAGGAUAAUCUAAAGUAGGGGGUUUCAAACUUCACAACCCUAGGACCAAAACCUGAGCCCAUCCAAGCCCCACUGCCCUGGGUGUGUGGGAGGCAAAGCCUGAGCCCCACCGCUCUGGGCAGGGGGGCCAAAGCUGAAGCUCAAUGCUUCAGCCCCAGGCAGGGGGCCUGCAACCUGAGUCCUGCAGCCCAAUGCUGAAGCCCUCAGGCGUUGGCUUCAGCCCUGGGCAGCGGGGCUUGGGCUUCCAUCCCAGGCCACAGCAAGUCUAAGCCAGCCCUGGCACUUUGGAGUCCCAACUCUCAGUUUGGGAACCACUGAUAUAAAGUAAAACAGACCUCCCCUAGUUGGCCUUCUGCUGGUACUUUCCACAACUUUCUCCAUUGAUGAAUUUGACCUUCUCACUUCCACUGGAAUUGUACCCACUCAUGUCAGGGCUGAAUUUGAUUUUUGCCCAAAAGUAAAUUGGUGUAAGUUGUACUCAUUUUGCAUCUCCACUGAAUUCGAAAUUGAUAAAAAUUACAUGACUUUGCCAUUGACAGCCAUUUUCUUCCUAAUUACAUCCAACCAUGAUAUUACACAAAUCUUUACACCCCUGCUGAAUUUGGAUCUGCAUAUUUAUGGGGCUAUAGUAAUCUUAUUCAUGUAAUCUUAUUCAUUUCUGUGUGCUAAGAUAGAGAUGAAAAUGUACUUUUUAGAAUUAAGAGCAAUUUAUGGUAUGUUGCACUUUCAAUAUUCAAUUAAAUUAUAAAGAUAUGAGAAUAAAAUCCUUUUCCAGCCCUGGGGAACCACUGAUGAAAUAAUCUGCAAAUAAGAUU